UGCAGUUCUUCAACUUCAGAUUCUUUGGUGACUUCAUCAUAUGUGAAGGAGAAAAUGGAGAAUACAUCCUGGUGCCUUGGGGAGUCAAAAGA